GAAUAGAAAAUUGCCGUGCAA
rnacentral:siRNA from 1 species